GGAGGGCAAGUCUGGUGCCAGCAGCCGCGGUAAUUCCAGCUCCAAUAGCGUAUAUUAAAGUUGUUGCAGUUAAAAAGCUCGUAGUUGGAUUUCUGUUAAUAAUUUAUAUAUAAUAUUUGAUUAAUAUUUAUAUAAUAUUAACAUAAUUCAUAUUACUAAAUUAUUUAUUAGUAUAUGAAAUUUUACUUUGAGAAAAUUAGAGUGCUUAAAGCAGGCAUAUGCCUUGAAUACUCCAGCAUGGAAUAAUAUUAAAGAUUUUUAUCUUUCUUAUUGGUUCUAAGAUAAAAAUAAUGAUUAAUAGGGACAGUUGGGGGCAUUUGUAUUUAACAGUCAGAGGUGAAAUUCUUAGAUUUGUUAAAGACAAACUAAUGCGAAAGCAUUUGCCAAGGAUGUUUUCAUUAAUCAAGAACGAAAGUUAGGGGAUCGAAGACGAUCAGAUACCGUCGUAGUCUUAACCAUAAACUAUGCCAACUAGAGAUUGGAGGUUGUUCCUUACUCCUUCAGCACCUUA
rnacentral:rRNA from 1 species